rnacentral:rRNA from 1 species
GACGAACGCUGGCGACGUGCCUAACACAUGCAAGUCGAGCGAGGGGAGUUCUUCGGAACAAACCUAGCGGCGGACGGGUGAGUAACACGUGGGCAACCUGCCUCAUAGAGGGGAAUAGCCUUCCGAAAGGAAGAUUAAUACCGCAUAAGAUUGUAGCUUCGCAUGAAGUAGCAAUUAAAGGAGCAAUCCGCUAUGAGAUGGGCCCGCGGCGCAUUAGCUAGUUGGUGAGGUAACGGCUCACCAAGGCGACGAUGCGUAGCCGACCUGAGAGGGUGAUCGGCCACAUUGGGACUGAGACACGGCCCAGACUCCUACGGGAGGCAGCAGUGGGGAAUAUUGCACAAUGGGGGAAACCCUGAUGCAGCAACGCCGCGUGAGUGAUGACGGCCUUCGGGUUGUAAAGCUCUGUCUUCAGGAACGAUAAUGACGGUACCUGAGGAGGAAGCCACGGCUAACUACGUGCCAGCAGCCGCGGUAAUAC